CUCGUGGGAACCAACAGAGCGCUAAGGCAUUCAAAUUCUAACAAUUAAAUUGUUAUUGGUGAUUUCAAUAGUUUUCGUUUUUUUUGGGACACCCUGUAUGUUAUGUGAAUGUAAACUGUCAGAAGAAUACGACAACAUGAUUUUACGCGAUCUCUGUGGGCAAUGGUUCCACUUUAGAUGUGUAGAAUAUGACACUAGUCUAAGUACCCCAAAUGAGUGGUUAUGUAGACUGUGCACACUACCAGCUGCUAAGAAGCUUAAAAUGUGUAUGUAAUUUUGUCUCCUUGUAAUAAAUAAAUAAAUAAAUCACACAAUAAAUCUUUUCAAC